UCUACGGGUGGCUGCAGUGGGGAAUAUUGGACAAUGGGCGAAAGCCUGAUCCAGCCAUGCCGCGUGUGUGAAGAAGGCCUUCGGGUUGUAAAGCACUUUCAGUGGGGAAGAAAGCCUUGGGGCUAAUACCCUCGAGGAAGGACAUCACCCACAGAAGAAGCACCGGCUAACUCCGUGCCAGCAGCCGCGGUAAUACGGAGGGUGCGAGCGUUAAUCGGAAUUACUGGGCGUAAAGCGCGCGUAGGCGGUCUGAUAAGCCGGUUGUGAAAGCCCCGGGCUCAACCUGGGAACGGCAUCCGGAACUGUCAGGCUAGAGUGCAGGAGAGGAAGGUAGAAUUCCCGGUGUAGCGGUGAAAUGCGUAGAGAUCGGGAGGAAUACCAGUGGCGAAGGCGGCCUUCUGGACUGACACUGACGCUGAGGUGCGAAAGCGUGGGUAGCAAACAGGAUUAGCUACCCGAGUAGUC
rnacentral:rRNA from 1 species